ensembl:lncRNA
GUAGUUUAGGGGCGGCAGGUAGACUGGAGGCAGGUAGACUAGGAGAAGGUAUACACGGGGCAGGUAGACUAGGAGAAGGUAGACUAGGAGAAGGUAGACACGGGGCAGGUAGACUAGGAGAAGGUAGACUAGGAGAAGGUAUACACGGGGCAGGUAGACUAGGAGAAGGUAUACACGGGGCAGGUAGACUAGGAGAAGGUAUACACGGGGCAGGUAGACUAGGAGAAGGUAGAAUAGGAGAAGGUAUACACGGGGCAGGUAGACUAGGAGAAGUUAGACUAGGAGAAGGUAUACACGGGGCAGGUAGACUAGGAGAAGGUAUACACGGGGCAGGUAGACUAGGGGCGGCAGGUAGACUAGGGGCGACAGGUAGACUGGAGGCAGGUAGCCUAGGAGAAGGUAGAUUAGGAGAAGGUAUACACGGGGCAGGUAGACAAGGAGAAGGUAUACACGGGGCAGAUAGACUAGGGGCGGCAGGUAGACUAGGGGCGGCAGGUAGACUGGAGGCAGGUAGACUAGGAGAAGGUAGACUAGGAGAAGAUAUACACGGGGCAGGUAGACUAGGGGCAGGUAGACUAGGGGCGGCAGGUAGACUAGAGGCAGGUAGACUAGGAGAAGGUAUACAAGGGGCAGGUAGACUAGGGGUGGCAGGUAGACUAGAGGCAGGUAGUCUAGUAGAAGGUAUACAAGGGGCAGGUAGACUAGGGAGGCAGGUAGACUGGAGGCAGGUAGACUGGAGGCAGGUAGACUGGAGGCAGGUAGACUAGGGGUGGCAAGUAGACUGGAGACAGGUAGACUAGGAGAAGGUAGACUAGGAGAAGGUAUACAACGGGCAGGUAGACAAGGAGAAGGUAUACAAGGGGCAGGUAGACUGGAGGCAGGUAGACUGGAGGCAGGUAGACUAGAGGAGGCAGGUAGACUAGGAGAAGGUAGACUAGGAG